AGGAAUUCCAAAUGACAGACUUAAGUUUGGCAGGGCUCCUAUGACUAUGAUAUUUUCUUUUCUUUUAAAAUUUUUAUUAAUAGCAUUUUAUUAUUUUCCAAUUAUAUAUAAAAUAGUUUUCAAAAUUCAUUUUUGAAAGAUUUUAAAUUCCAAAUUUUUCUCCCUCUUUCUCUUUCCUUUCCUCUCCCCAAGACAACAAAUACUCCAGUAUGAGCUGUACCUGUACAAUUAUAUUAAACAUUUUCAUAUUAGUCAUUUUGUGAAAGAAAAGUCAGAACAAAAGGGAAAAAUCACAGAAAGAAAAAACAAAAAAUAAAUUUUAAAAAGUAAACUUUUAUCCUUUGAUCUGCAUUUAGUCUCCAUCUUUCUCUGGAUGCAGAUGAUAUUUUCCAUCACAAGAGUUUUGGAAAUGUCUUAGAUUACUGUAUUGCUGAGAAGAACUAAGUCUAUCAUAGUUGUUCAUCGCACAAUAUUGCUGUUACUAUAUAUAACGUUUUCCUGUUUCUGCUCACUUUACUUAGCAUCAAUUUAUACAUGAUUAUUAUCUUUUCAUCAGUUAUUUGCACAUUCACUACCCUCUCAUUUCCCUCUAGCUUGGCUUUUCUUACAUAAUGAAUGAAAUUGCAUCGACAACAAGGAGUAAUUUAUUCUUUCAAUAUAUUUAAAGGUUGUUUUUAUCUGAUUUGUUAUAGAUCUUCUGGAAAAGAAUCAGAAAAAAGAUGAAGAAAUGGAAUAUCUACAGGUAUCACUCACUGGUGAGAGAAACAAUUCAUUUGCAUCCCUGCUCUAUUCUAAUCAGUAUUAAUAAAUUUGAUAGAAUCAUAUCAAAGUUUUAUAUAGAUUUCCCCAGUUCUGUGAGCUGCAGAUUCUGAAUUCAUUUGCUUAAUAAUUAUGGGAAGUUAACUAAAGGCCUUCAUCCUUGUUUUGCCUUGUCAUUGUGGUCAAGCCCAGUGUAGCAGAGAUGGCAAUUACAUGGAAAGUUCCCCAAAAUAUUUUUGUACCUCUGGACCAAUCACUUGUCCAUAGGAGCAAGUGACCAUCUUAUGACUAUUGAUUAUCUUAUGACUAUUAAGGUCACUGACAAGUUUCACCUAAGUUGUGAUCCUGCUGAUAUUCAUAUUUUGGCCUAUUUAUUAUAUGUUAAGGAAUGAAAUCACUGUUAUAUUUACAUAACUGUAAUCCUAUGAAAAGUAUAGCCCUAACAGGAGGUGGCAUCUCAGAUCAUGAUGAAGAACUGAGGUCUACUUUAUUAGAGGGGACUAUGGACCUUUCAGUAAAGUGUCAUUGACUCACAGUUCUGCCUCAGUCUCUUAUUGUAAGUGGGAUAAUUUUAAUCCCCACAAUGGGGAGCAAAUAGGACAGAUUUAAUAUUGUAAAUUUAAUAUUGCUCAGAUUAUUUGGUUUCCUUCUGUUCUAUUCAUAUUUAAUAGUUUUCUUGCUUUUUAAAAAAAUUUUCCCCCCUAUUAAUACUUCCUAUCUCUUCUUCUCCAAGAAAAAAAGUCCUUUCAUGAUAAAUUAGCAUUGACACACACACAAAUCAAUGUAUUGAUUAUCUGAAAAUGUUUGUCACCUCUAUAUCUGACAGUAGAUAAUGUGAUCUGAAAUAAUCUCUUUCAAAUCAUGGUUAGUCACAGCACUGAUCAUAAUUUUUAAGCCCUUUAUUUUUUUUCCUUUUCAAUGUUUUAUUCACUGUAUAAUUUAUACCCCUACUUCUGUUCAGUUGCCUCUGAAGCAGUUCAAACAAAAGUUGCUCUAGCUUUCAUCAUGAUAAAUGGAUCAGGGGACUAAAACUGUGAGCCUGAAGUCAGGAAGAUCUCAGGUCAAAUCUGACCUCACUAGGUAACUUCUGCU
ensembl:lncRNA